rnacentral:rRNA from 1 species
GAUGAACGCUGGCGGCGUGCUUAACACAUGCAAGUCGAACGAAGCAUUUAAAACAGAUUACUUCGGUUUGAAGUCUUUUAUGACUGAGUGGCGGACGGGUGAGUAACGCGUGGGUAACCUGCCUCAUACAGGGGGAUAGCAGCUGGAAACGGCUGGUAAUACCGCAUAAGCGCACAGUACCACAUGGUACAGUGUGAAAAACUCCGGUGGUAUGAGAUGGACCCGCGUCUGCUUAGCUUGUUGGCGGGGUAACGGCCCACCAAGGCGACGAUCAGUAGCCGACCUGAGAGGGUGACCGGCCACAGUGGGACUGGGACACGGCACAGACUCCUACGGGAGGCAGCAGUGGGGAAUAUUGCACAAUGGAGGAAACUCUGAUGCAGCGACGCCGCGUGAGUGAAGAAGUAGUUCGCUAUGUAAAGCUCUAUCAGCAGGGAAGAUAGUGACGGUACCUGACUAAGAAGCUCCGGCUAAAUACGUG